GGAAUGCUGAAAAAUGAUGCUACAAAAUGAUCUACGCUCACCACAGGCGUCCAUUCCCUCCCUCUCACUGCACCCACAGCUGGGAAUUGCUCAGGAUGUCUGUGACAAAGAAAGCUGGAGAAAACAAGAAUCAAGUACUCAGGAUCACAGUGUAAAUAAGACAACCAGUCUAUGGGAGUGGAAUGGCACACAAGAUAAACACCAAUAAACUCCUUUUCAGAACAAGCUGGCGCAAAGAUGUGGCAAAAAUAACCAAGAGUGAG
rnacentral:lncRNA from 1 species